rnacentral:sRNA from 1 species
GAGGGUCUGGGCGAUGGUGCAUCCGGGACGAGCCUCCAGAGACCAAGUGGGAUAGGUAAACCCGCCGCGCAGCUGGCGGGACGCUGGGCCAACGAGGUCUGGGGUCUUGGCGCGGAGUUCAUGGGCCGCCGGCCAGGCUUGUGCCAGUGGCUUUGGAUCCCUGGCCUGCUUCCCUCAACCCAGCCUCCAGACCAGCGCUGGCCUGCUCCACACACUCCGCAGCACCGUCCCGGGAACCGAGCGUCGGCGGGGAGGCCGCCUCUCCGCAAUACCCCAUGUUUCCCCAUCACUCGAGGAGUCUGGGCAGAGACUGGACUACACCGUGGGAGAAUCUGCAAAGGUGUUGCUGGAACAGACAUAUUUCUAGUUGUAUGAGGUGGCCUGGACAUUACUCUCGAGCUCCUUACCCAUACUUCAGUAGUAGGCAUUUUUCACUAAAUUGGAGACCACCCUGUUUGUUUGAGUCUAGAACUCAGUUCCAGUACUGUAACUGGAGACCUGACAACCUGAGCCAGACAUCUUUGAUUCAUCUCUCUAGUUACGUCAUGAACGCUGAGGGAGAUGAGCCUUCAUCAAAACGAAGAAAACACCAAGGUGUGAUAAAGCGGAAUUGGGAAUAUAUAUGUAGCCAUGAUAAAGAAAAAACGAAGAUCCUAGGAGACAAAAAUGUUGAUCCCAAAUGUGAAGACAGUGAGAACAAGUUUGACUUUUCAGUGAUGUCCUAUAAUAUACUUUCACAAGAUUUACUGGAAGAUAACUCUCACCUUUAUAGACAUUGCCGGCGGCCAGUAUUACACUGGAGUUUUAGGUUUCCCAAUAUUCUGAAAGAAAUUAAACAUUUUGAUGCAGAC